rnacentral:rRNA from 1 species
CCUACGGGAGGCAGCAGUGAGGAAUAUUGGUCAAUGGACGAGAGUCUGAACCAGCCAAGCCGCGUGAAGGAUGACUGCCCUAUGGGUUGUAAACUUCUUUUAUACGGGAGUAAACCGCGGUACGUGUGCCUUUUUGCAUGUACUUUAUGAAUAAGGAUCGGCUAACUCCGUGCCAGCAGCCGCGGUAAUACGGAGGAUCCGAGCGUUAUCCGGAUUUAUUGGGUUUAAAGGGUGCGUAGGUGGUUUGUUAAGUUAGUUGUGAAAUUUUGGGGCUCAACCCCGGAACUGCGUAUAAUACUGUUGGACGAGAGAGUAGUUGAGGUAAGCGGAAUGUAUGGUGUAGCGGUGAAAUGCUUAGAGAUCAGACAGAACACCGAUUGCGAAGGCAGCUUACCAAACUAUAACUGACGUUGAGGCACGAAAGCGUGGGUAGCAAACAGGAUUAGAUACCCCAGUAGUC